GUGGACAUCUGGGUGAUGAUAUCAUCUGCUAGAAUCGGUCUGUUUGGCCUCUUCCAUGUUUUGUGACCUUUAGCAUCAGUGCCAACGGUGUGCACAGAUCAAGACUUUGUUUCCACAACUUUUAGUUCAGACGGUUGGCGUUUCACAUUUGCUUUUUUGGGAAUGAUUUCCUUGUCUUGAUGUUUUUACGUAAGAAAACAGAGCUGAAAGGGUUCCUGUGUCCUCUGAUUCCAGAUCGCGCCGGCCAAGCAUCAGAGGAAGUUAGCUGCAGUUUGGUCCUCACAACUGUCAGCAGAAGACAGAGCCUACACGUGUCCUGGCACACUGAUUGGCCUCCUCUUGGACAGCCACAUAAACCUCAUCAAAUUCAGAAAGCUAACAAUGUCGACGAUGCGCCUGAUGAAUCUGGAAUCUGGAUUGUGCUGACUGCUUCCAGCUGAACCCCCGACCGAGCUCCCAAGUGAACUUUCAUCACUACGUUGGAUUCGCAUUCUACCAUUCAAUUUAUUUUGGAUGUGUUAUAUGUACACUAGAGAAUAGAAACGGUUGUAUAUUUUUGUCGCAUGGAUUCCGAUAUCAAAUUUAAAAAGGGAGUGUACAGUUUGAGCGUGUCAAAAUAAGCCAUGCAAGUCUUUGUCUGCACGGACCCGCGUGAAUUGUGAUAUAGCAAAUGGCUCAUUAAAUGAGAUAUGACGCUUUGAUCACUUCGCCGACACUUGGAUAAGUGGAGCAAAUAAAAGGGUAAUACGUCAUUUCAUUUCAGGAGAUUGCAAGUAAAUUUCAAAGAGUUUGAUACUGAUGCUAUAUGUGUUCGAAGACUAGCGACCGGAGGUUAACACGCCUCCGUAGCUCAAAUACGGAAAUGGUGCAUGCAUGUAGUCCAUUUAUUAAAGUAGCAGAUCGGUCUCUGUUUGGCCCAAAUACAGUUAAUUUUGAACCAACGUUUUUCAUAGUGUGCUUUCAGCAACCGUAUUGGGGAAAUACUAAACCUGCAUGAAAUGAAAACGCUCUCUGAAUCCAACCUGGGAGUUUUUACACUCUAAAUAUAUUACAUGGUGCAAUGAGCUGCCCUGAUGUUCGGAACGUCCCAUUUCGACAGUCAUUGAUGAGGCCCUUUUCCUACAUUGUCUGGUGACAAGGAGUGACAAUAGAGUUGCAAUCCCCACCUGAGAUGGCCAACUUGGUGUGCAUGUGAAGCAGAGGGGAUGAAAGGUGACCAUGAGGGGUUGGGGGUGGCCCAGGGGUUGAAGGGUGAGAAGU